GAUGAACGCUAGCGGGAGGCCUAACACACGCAAGCCGAGCGGUAUUGUUUCUUCGGAAAUGAGAGAGCGGCGUACGGGUGCGUAACACGUGUGCAACCUGCCUUUAUCUGGGGGAUAGCCUUUCGAAAGGAAGAUUAAUACUCCAUAAUAUAUUGAACGGCAUCGUUUAAUAUUGAAAGCUCCGGCGGAUAGAGAUGGGCACGCGCAAGAUUAGCUAGUUGGUGAGGUAACGGCUCACCAAGGCGAUGAUCUUUAGGGGGCCUGAGAGGGUGAUCCCCCACACUGGUACUGGGACACGGACCAGACUCCUACGGGAGGCAGCAGUGAGGAAUAUUGGUCAAUGGGUGCAAGCCUGAACCAGCCAUCCCGCGUGAAGGACGACUGCCCUAUGGGUUGUAAACUUCUUUUGUAUAGGGAUAAACCUACCCUCGUGAGGGUAGCUGAAGGUACUAUACGAAUAAGCACCGGCUAACUCCGUG
rnacentral:rRNA from 1 species